UACAGGGACUGCAAGCGUUAUUCGGAUUCACUGGGCGUAAAGGGUGCGCAGGCGGUCGGGUGUGUCAGAUGUGAAAUCCCGAGGCUCAACCUCGGAACUGCGUCUGAAACUACUCGACUAGAGUACUGGAGAGGGUAACGGAAUUCACGGUGUAGCAGUGAAAUGCGUAGAUAUCGUGAGGAACACCAGAGGCGAAGGCGACUACCUGGCCUGUUCUUGACGCUGAGGCGCGAAAGCUAGGGGAGCAAACGGG
rnacentral:rRNA from 1 species